UACAGAGGUCUCAAGCGUUGUUCGGAUUCAUUGGGCGUAAAGGGUGUGUAGGUGGCGCCGUAAGUCGGGUGUGAAAUUUCGGAGCUUAACUCCGAAACUGCAUUCGAUACUGCGGUGCUUGAGGAUUGGAGAGGAGACUGGAAUUCAUGGUGUAGCAGUGAAAUGCGUAGAGAUCAUGAGGAAGACCAGUGGCGAAGGCGGGUCUCUGGACAGUUCCUGACACUGAGACACGAAGGCCAGGGGAGCAAACGGG
rnacentral:rRNA from 1 species